GUAAUGGUACGGUGCGACCGGACGAUGGUUCACAACGACCGUGUCUCUUAAACUGGUCGGUGGGACUUUCGUCCGUUUGUAACGCCAUUUGUCAGCGA
rnacentral:pre_miRNA from 15 species